rnacentral:rRNA from 11 species
AACCUGUAACCUCAGAGAGACUCCAAAGCAAAAAGCCCCAAGUGCACAGAAAAAUCCAGAUAAGA